rnacentral:sRNA from 1 species
GCUGGGAGUGGUGGGGCACACCUGUAAUCCCAGCUACUUGGGAGGCUGAGGCAGGGGACAGCAAGUUCAAAGGCAGCCUGGGCAAUUUAAGGAGACCCUGUCUCAA